rnacentral:lncRNA from 1 species
GCCAACUAUUGGUUGAUUGCUUGUUUCUUCAUUAACCUAUAGCUGAGCUAGCUAGUCGAUCAUUGCCCAAGCUUCACAAAUAUGAACAAACUUUUUGAGAUAGCCACAUCAUAUCAGAGCCUCUAUCUCAUCCUUUACUUGAAUACAAUCAUCUAUGUCAUGUUUGUGAUCAUGGUGAAACCAACAAUACUUCUUGCAGUCAUAUGAUACCAAU